UACGGAGGAUCCGAGCGUUAUCCGGAUUUACUGGGUGUAAAGGGCGUGCAGCCGGGCUGACAAGUCAGAUGUGAAAUCCCGCGGCUCAACCGCGGAACUGCAUUUGAAACUGGCAGUCUUGAGUGGGCGAGAAGUAUGCGGAAUGCGUGGUGUAGCGGUGAAAUGCAUAGAUAUCACGCAGAACUCCGAUUGCGAAGGCAGCAUACCGGCGCCCUACUGACGCUGAGGCACGAAAGCGUGGGUAUCGAACAGG
rnacentral:rRNA from 1 species